UACGAAGGGGGCUAGCGUUGCUCGGAAUCACUGGGCGUAAAGCGCACGUAGGCGGGUCUUUAAGUCAGGGGUGAAAUCCUGGAGCUCAACUCCAGAACUGCCUUUGAUACUGAGGAUCUCGAGUCCGGGAGAGGUGAGUGGAACUCCGAGUGUAGAGGUGAAAUUCGUAGAUAUUCGGAAGAACACCAGUGGCGAAGGCGGCUCACUGGCCCGGUACUGACGCUGAGGUGCGAAAGCGUGGGGAGCAACAGG
rnacentral:rRNA from 1 species